UACGUAGGGGGCGAGCGUUGUCCGGAAUUACUGGGCGUAAAGGGUGCGUAGGCGGCGAUGCAAGUCCAUUGUGAAAAGCCCGGGCUUAACCUGGGAGGUGCAGUGGAAACUGUAUGGCUUGAGUGCAGGAGAGGAAAGUGGAAUUCCUAGUGUAGCGGUGAAAUGCGUAGAUAUUAGGAGGAACACCAGUGGCGAAGGCGACUUUCUGGACUGUAACUGACGCUGAGGCACGAAAGCGUGGGGAGCAAACAGG
rnacentral:rRNA from 1 species